rnacentral:rRNA from 1 species
GAUGAACGCUGGCGGCGUGCCUAAUACAUGCAAGUCGAGCGAACAGACGAGGAGCUUGCUCCUCUGACGUUAGCGGCGGACGGGUGAGUAACACGUGGAUAACCUACCUAUAAGACUGGGAUAACUUCGGGAAACCGGAGCUAAUACCGGAUAAUAUAUUGAACCGCAUGGUUCAAUAGUGAAAGACGGUUUUGCUGUCACUUAUAGAUGGAUCCGCGCCGCAUUAGCUAGUUGGUAAGGUAACGGCUUACCAAGGCAACGAUGCGUAGCCGACCUGAGAGGUGGAUCGGCCACACUGGAACUGAGACACGGUCCAGACUCCUACGGGAGGCAGCAGUAGGGAAUCUUCCGCAAUGGGCGAAAGCCUGACGGAGCAACGCCGCGUGAGUGAUGAAGGUCUUCGGAUCGUAAAACUCUGUUAUUAGGGAAGAACAAAUGUGUAAGUAACGAUGCACGUCUUGACGGUACCUAAGCAGAAAGCCACGGCUAACUACGU